AUGCUCUGGCAAUGCUGCGAGCGGCCAGCGGGCGCCACUGCCGCUCUGCCGCGCUCUGCUCCGCGUCCUCCCAGCCGGCAGCGGCUCUGCGCACCCGGGCGCCGGCUACGGCUGUCAGCCCAGCCCUUCCUGCUGCCCCACAAAACACACCGUGGCAGUUUUCGAUUGAAGAGCCUGGCACAAAAGACAUCAGGAGGUUAAAAUAGGAAUGGGCAGGUUGGACAUGAGGAUUUUGCAGUCAUUUGUCAUCUCUAGCAAGGCUGAGUUUGUGUCAGUGCACAGUCCAAAUGCUGUGUACGUACUAGGAGAAAUUUGAAUUGACAACUAUGUGAUUUGGCCAGGUGAUCCUCCAAAUUUGUUGUUUCCUUUGGGAAUCUAGGGUGAAAACAGAAAUUCUAAACAAUGUUGCUUACUGCUUUCAGUAUAUUUGCUGUUAAGCCUUAGUCAGGAACUUGGAUAGAGUUGUCUUAGAUGCUGCAGAGCAGAGAGCUGAUACCUGUCCUGGAGGGCGUGAGCUUAUGGCAAUGUCUGACCCAUCUGGAUUACAACAGCUCUGGGAAUUGGAAAAGAGUUUGAUGGAAACUGAGACUUUAAAUCUGACUGAAUAUUCUGUAGAUGUGGCUGUGCAGGUUAUUUUAUCUUGGUUGCUUUUGAAGAGCAGGUGACAAAGGGACCUCUUUCUCAGAGCAAUCUGUCAGUCCCAUGAGAUUUCUCUUGCAGAAUCAAGGAUAUAAUCUAAGGGCAUGGUAGUUGUAAUCAGGGUGGCAUUUCAGAUACCAAAAGGUGUUUCAGGAGGCCAAAGGAACUUGGAAAUAAAAAACUGAACAAUCUCGGGGCUGCUUUCCUCAUUCUGAUUUCUGUUAAGUAUUUCUUUCCUUCCAAAGCAAAAUAACUGGUUUGGCUUUACUCUGUUUGUGCUUCCUGCCCCCUCUUGGUCAUCGACAGCCAGUCUGGUCUGUAGGGGAUCAUGAUGCUAAGCCUUGGGGGCAGCACUGGUGUUAUGCUACGUAUUAAAGACUGGGGGUUUUGGGCUUACAGGAAAGAGAAGCCUCCACCACAGGUGUUGGUCACCCUUGCUGCAUGUCCUGUCUUAAAGGUGGUGUGAACUCAACCUGUGUGCAGGUGCUCCCUUUUGGCUUGGUGUCUUAGGAAUUUGGCUGUAAUACAGCCUGGCAGUUAUAAGCAGUGAGCACCAUGUUUUAAGGGACGUAUUCUGGUGUGACUUCUAAUUUCAUGACCAUCAAAUGUUUUGCUCUUAUGUAUGGUCAGCUGCUUUCCUCCUUGAGCACAACCAGGGGUUGCUCAUGGACUUCCUAAGCUCCUUCAUGCCUCUUCCUCCAUGCUGCAUCCCAAGGAGAUUUCAAUGGUACUUCAGAAACAAGAGUGGCUGAUGCAGGGCAGAACUCUGGACAACAAGAGAAGCAACCAGAUUUGGGGAAUGAUGUAAGCACCACUUCAAUGGGCUGCAAUUCACCAUCUGAUUUUAUGUACUAUCUUAGCUUCCACCUGCUGCUCAUCCCACCUGUAUUUUCAGCAGCUUCACUUGGGGAAAAAUUGCAUUGCAGAGCUGGCUCAGCUCCUGUGGAUGAAGCAGUGCUUAUCCGGGUGCAGAAGCAGCUCUGGAGGUGGUGCCUGCAGCCCGCAGGACCCAUGGAUUAGAGCUUGCGGCUGGGCUGCUUCUCUCCCUCUGGCCCAGGCAAAGAGCAGCGCUGCUCUGGCGUCUGGAACUUAAAAAGCAAAGAAAGCAGUGAGAAGCCAGUGCAGCACCCCUGAAAACCUCGAUGUCUCCCUAAAGGAAACCUUAUCCUAGGACUUUGGCAUUUGUCAAUAUGAGGUUACACACCUCCCUUGAGCUUCACUGGAGACAAUUUUGCAUAAGCAUUUGGUGAGCUUUGCCUCUGACUUGCUCUCUUGGCCUUCAGUCAUCUGAUGGACACACCUUGGGAGCGAGCCUUUGUGCUCAGGUUGGGAUGCUGGGUUCCCCUCCCUGUGCUCAGGCCUACCUCCUCUUCAUGGAAAGAGCUCAGUGUGGGGUGCAGGGAAGGUGCUGCAGAGGAAUUGGGCUGUGGGGCCAGAGAGCCUGAGUGCAUCACACUGCAGCCUGGAACGAGCAGUGGGUGUUUUUGAAGGGACCUCUGUUCACACCGAGGAAUAUUUAUUUAUAACUCAUGAGUUUGGUUUCAGGAAUUUGCUCUGUGACCCUUCUCCAUUUCUUUGAUUAAACCUCCUAUUGUAAGAGGAAUGUUUUAUAUUGCAGUCCUUCCACACCCUGAGACAAAUGUCCUGUAAGUCACAGCUUUGCUCUCCCCUUCAGGCACUUCUGGAACAGCUUCAGCUCUCUGAAAGUGUGGAGAGAAAACCCGAUUCCUCCAAGUAAAUAUACUUGAUGGACCAAGAGGGCACUUGCCUUUUUCACUGAAUAUACUUCUUCCAAGUUGCCACCUACUACUGGGAAGAAGUUCUGAUGCAAUGUAGGAUUGUCUCUAAUAUCCCAACUGUGGGGCCAAGUUGAUUGCUUGAAGAUAGGAUCUUGGGCUCUAUCAGUCAUGUCCGUUUCCAUUCAAACAGUUGCAUUUGAAACUGUUGUUACUGUGAUGGAUUAGAUUUGAGAUUAAAAGGCAAAUCUGUAAAGGGAAAAUUUAAAAAAAUCCUUAAAUGAAAACUAGACCCAAGUCAUGCAAGGAAAGAAGAGGAACAAAUUAAUAAUCUAGGCAUUAAACAAUUAAUUUUUAACCUUAGUCAGCUGAAGAUGUAUUUUUCUUUUUGCAUGAGGAAUAUGAAACAAAGAAAUGCAAGUUCCUGUAGCAAGCAAGGGAUGCUUGUUCCAAUGUAGGUUCACUUCUGACAAAAAUGUUGUGUAUGCUGUGGUGCUCCUUGGGGACUUCAGGUAAAGACUAUGCUGGUACCUGUCAAAACAAAGAACAAAUCAGUCCAAGGAAAAGAUAGAAUAUGGUAAACAAUCAAACAGAUAUGGAAGAUUCACAGCCCUAAAAACAUAUCUGAUCCCAUAAGCAGCCUGGCUGUUGCUUUGCUUUGGACCAUUAUUUGCUUUGGACCAUCGUGUGCUAAGCACCAGAGCUUAGCACAUGAAGACAGUGAUGGUUUAACAAUAUAUACCUUAAUCACUGAUAAAUCAUUUCACAUUGCUUACUUGGAGAAUCGGGGGCUUAAGAAAUCGUGGUAGAGCUGCUGGAUGUGUUACUUUUUUGCUCCCAAAGGGUGAUUGAUUAUGGUAAUCAGGCUACUUUGUUUGGUCAAUGUACUGUCCUGCCUUUUCCCACUGCUUCCCUUCUUUCUUUGGUGUGUUCUCACCUUACAUGGAAUCCUUCUCCAUGCUGUGAGACCCUUAAAACAUGGAAUAUCUCCUUGUUUUACCCACUAGGGCAAGCUGAGCACAGAGGAUCCUGCCUGUUACCUCUGGUCAUAGGGAGCAUGGAGAUCACCCAAGCCUUUGAGAAUACAUUUCAUGAGCAUUCCCUGCCAUCACAGCUGGAAUAUGGUACCUUUGUCAAAGGGAAAACUUGCCAUCACUUGCAGAAAAAGGGGUUGCAUAGAAAUGAGACACACUCUGACUUGUGGUUUUUCUCUAAAUCAGCUGCAUUUUUAACAUUCAGAAGCCAACAAAGAUGAAAGACUCCUGGUCAACCUCUCUACUCCCUUGGGGAAAAAAGUAAAAAGACUUGAUAAAUA